rnacentral:rRNA from 1 species
UACGUAGGGUGCGAGCGUUAAUCGGAAUUACUGGGCGUAAAGGGUGCGCAGGCGGUUCUGCAAGUCAGGGGUGAAAUCCCCGGGCUUAACCUGGGAAUGGCGCUUGAAACUACGGGACUGGAGUAUGGCAGAGGGAGGUGGAAUUCCACGUGUAGCGGUGAAAUGCGUAGAGAUGUGGAGGAACACCGAUGGCGAAGGCAGCCUCCUGGGCCAAUACUGACGCUCAUGCACGAAAGCGUGGGGAGCAAACAGG